ensembl:lncRNA
AUGGCAUUAGCUCAGCUCAAGACAGUCUUUUUAAAUAUUAACCUUUUGUAUCCCUUAGCAGAUACAUCUCAGACACAGACCCCAGGGCUGAGACAGCAUCAGUGGGAAGCAUCAGUGUCACUGCCAGGGCCAGUGUUCUCUGACUGCCACUGUGGACCGAAGGGAUGUCGACCUCCCUGGACAAGCAAUGUGGAGGCAGGGGCAGCACUCCCACUUGGGCUGAGCCAUGUAGAAACCCAGCCUCAGCCCUGUGCUGUGAGCACCCAGCGAAAUCCAGUGAACAAGAGACAGCUCCUGCUUGCUGAGCCCAGGAGCCAAGUCAGCCUGCUGCAUGGAACGAAGAGAACCCAGGACAAGCUUCUGUCUCUGGACACCUUUUAACCUGUCAGUAGCUGAUGGCCUCAAGAUCUGCACACACUCAAAAAGAAACAAAGUGAACUGAGUGAACUGGCACUGUUGGGCUCAUAAGGUUUGUCUUGGCACGUGGCUGGGAGAGCAGGGGGGCCCAGAAGCCGAGAAAAGUGAUUCUUCAUGGAAAUGUGCACUGAUUAUAAUUACGCUGCUAUAAUUACUGCUAAGCAAAUAAACAUUAAAGGGCAGCAGCAUCCCAAGGGCACGUGGAGCUCAUGCAACCUCUGCAAAACCCCAGGAGCGGUUGUGUGCCUCGCCCCAGGACUGUCAGUGGGAGCAAACACUUAAUUCCAUGCCACUGUAGUGUGCACACAAUGGUUCCCUCCCCAGAGACACCCACAAGGAUUUUGAGGCCCCCAGCGUGGUGGGGAUGGGGAGGUGGAACCAGGCAGAGCUAUAGGGAGUCGAACGGGCUGGGGACAGGGAGAGCACCUUGAGCCAUUCAUGGGUGCAGCUGCCCGGGAUGUUGUGGGGCAUGCCAGGGGUGCUGCUGCUGCUCCUGCUCCUGCUCCAUCUUCCUCAACCUGUAUCUCAAUGGCUGGGUCCCAGCUCCACCACACCAGCCUCUGCCAGCCCGCCUGCUACCUUGGCACACGCGAGUGCAGCGCCAGCCCGGCACGUGCCAGUGGCGUGGGGGCCAUCCAGCUGUCCCGUGCCACCUCCUGGUGCUCUGAGUCACUGCUCUGCCUCCAUUCACUGACUGCCACUGUUGCUUCCAGCCUUGGAAGAAACACUCCAACACAGCUGUCUGUCUGGUGGAAAAUAUUUUUCCCACUGGACUCCUGUGAAUGUGCCACAUCAUAAUUAAAAGCUGGUGAAUUGAAGGUACUAGAAUUAGCGCUGGUGUUUGCAGCCUGGAGAGCUGCUCGCUGGCUGCGUGCAGAGCACUGCAUGGUCUCUGCUUUGUUUCACACGGGUUUCUGUAAUAAAACCAGACUAUCAGUGUUCGUGAGCAAUCUGCUGCUUCCCAAAUGACUAUUGGGGCAUAAACACCCUGUUUUGCACUCUGCAAAGCCCUUGCUGUUGUCUUGGGCAGUUUAGCCGUGGAGGGUUUGAUGCCUUCAGCUCUGAAGCUAGAUGAUUUCGCUUUUGCAAGAGGUCACUGAAGCCAUUUGGGCAAAUGUUCCCUCCCUUGCUGCAGCCCUCUGUGUCAUCACCAAAUGGAGAUGUUUUGCAUUAAAUGAAAUUUAACUUCUCUUUGUUUUGCCUUUGAUGAGCUAUAAGCUGAGCCUGAUGAAGGAUGGGGAAGGGACACACUGCAGAAUGGGCUGCCCUUGCUGAACACAGUCAUGCCAGGGUGGGGACCCAGCUCUGCCCUCCUGCACUCCAGCCCUGGCUCAGCACCCAAAGGGAGAGGUGCAGGUGGCAGGAUUGGGCCCCAGGAGGGAAAGCACUGCAGGGAGGAAAUGUUCCCACCCUUUCUCAGCUGCCUCAUUGCUGCUGCUCCUCCCCAGGGUCCCCGUGUGGUGCUGCUGAGGAGCUGCCUCCCAGUGCCAGCGGUGAGUGGAUUAAUUAAUCAGCCUGCCAGCCCUUGGCAGCAAGAGGCUCUGCCAUGCCAGCUCUUAUUAAAUAGAACAAAACCUGCCUUUAUCUCCGAACGUUGCUGCGGGCUGGGAUAAGGCAGGAGGCUGCCAGGAGGUGCAGUGGGGCAGCUCCAUUGCCUCCAUGCACCCAGCUCCAGCCCCUCGCCAGGUGCGGUGCUGGGGCACUGUGCACCAUGGUGGCCAUACCAGGCGGGGACAAGGCGCAUGUGGCACACACCACAGGGCACUGGUGGUGCAGGGUGAGAUUAUUACCGGGUAAUGCUUGCGGUGGUUGAAAAACAGCAUCCGCUCCCUGCAGCACAGCCACGGGAUCGCCUUGAAUUUCGGUUUCUCCUGGUGAGGGAUGGCUGAUCUUACUGGGCUGGGGAGGGCUGAUAAGAGCAUUAGCUGGAGGUAGGGCCAGGAUGAAGCUGUGGUUUGCUGGGCAGCAGCCUUCUCCUGCUUCCCUAAUGGAGGAGAAAGGCAAGGUUAAGCCAGGGUGGAUGUUACCACAGGCAGUGAUGUACAAAUCCAUGUACAUGGGGGCCUUCAGGUGGCGUUGUACCUGAGUGAGCAUCACUCACAACAUGAGCCAGUGGUCCUGUCCUUCUAGUGUUUUUUUUUUUUUUUUUUUUUUUUCCGGCUACACAGGUCGGGAAUCUUUCUUUAAUUGCUCUAUGAUUAAGUGACUUUUAAUUUUCCUCUUGUCAAGUGUAAUCCAAUUUACUCCUUCUUCCUUUCCUUCUUUUCAUUUCUUUCUUUUCCUUUCCCUCUCCUGGAAAUUAAAUUAACAUUCCAUCUAAUUACCCAGUCACUUUUCUAAUUGCCAAAGGGGCUGUGGUUGUUUUGCUCAUUUAAUUAAUUGAGACCUGCAGUGUUUAAUGAGGAGAAGGAUUUAUUGGCUGUGGAGUGGGCAGUGGAGAAAAGGGGGGUGUAAGUGCUACAUAUCUUGAUAGCAUCCCAGAGGGCUGAGAAAG